rnacentral:rRNA from 1 species
AAUUCGACGCUACGCGAAGAACUUACCUGGGCUUGAACUGCUGGUGGUAGAAGCCCGAAAGGGUAACGACCCGGAGCAAUCCGGAGCCAGUAGAGGUGCUGCAUGGCUGUCGUCAGCUCGUGUCGUGAGAUGUUGGGUUAAGUCCCGCAACGAGCCGCAACCCUUACCCUUAGUUGCCAGCGGGUAAUGCCGGGCACUCUAAGGGGACCGCCCGGAUAACGGGGAGGAAGGCGGGGAUGACGUCAAGUCAGCAUGGCCUUUAUGUCCAGGGCUACACACGUGCCACAAUGGGCGAUACAGAGGGAAGCAAGGCCGCAAGGUAGAGCUAAUCCCUAAAGUCGUCCUCAGUUCGGAUUGCAGGCUGCAACUCGUCUGCAUGAAGUCGGAAUCGCUAGUAAUCGCGGAUCAGCUACGCCGCGGUGAAUACGUUCUCGGGCCUU